UUUCUAACUCCAUUUUUUUUUUUUGCUAACAUUCAUUCAAAUAAUAUUGUUUUUUAGUGCCUUCCAGAAAAAAAGAUGUCAAUCUCAAAUUAGAAACCUGGCCACUAAAUGGUUGAAGGUCCAGGAUUCAAGGAAUUCAUUGUGGGCAUUAAGAGCUGACAGCGAGGGUCCAGGAGGAGGCAGCAGAAAGCAGAUCCUCUCAUUGAUAUCUCUAGCCCUUCAGCUGCUUAAUAUUCUGAAGAAGUGGAAAGGGGAACAGAAAUCUUAAAUACUGAUGAUGCGGCGAUACCAAGAGGAAGAUGUGAGUCAAAAGUAUCAGUGGGGACUCAGAAGAUAAAAAAGUGAGGUGCCCAAGUCACCGAAUCACCAAAGUGUAAAGAGAAGUCCCAGGAGGAAACUGUGUCAGCAGGAUGCUUAAUGGUGUUCCAGGCUUGUGUUGGGGCUUCUGUGCUAGGAAAGAAGGGAAUUGUCUCUGCUGGUGAUCAUCAAUCUUGAGAGUUCAUUAAAUUCCAUCAGCAUGAGUUAACCACCUAUUAUGCACAAGGACAUUGAGCUGGGAACUAGAGAUUUAAAGACAAAAGAAUUAAGACAUCCCUGUCUUCAAGGAGCUUAUAUGCUUUUGGGGGAAAGAUGGGAAACAUACACACAGAGUCAGCUAAAUCUAGAGGCAAGACAAAAGUCAGGAUGAUGGCAAUUGCCCAGGAUGCAAUGAAUGACCGACCUUAGAACCUUUGAUGUCUGACCAAGCUCCAGGUACUCCACAGAACCCGCUUCAGUAGUCUUCAUGGCCAUUGGAAUAAAUUCUUCCAAUUCACUCA
rnacentral:lncRNA from 1 species